CCUACGGGGGGCAGCAGUAGGGAAUAUUGCUCAAUGGGGGAAACCCUGAAGCAGCAAAGCCGCGUGGAGGAUGACGGCUUUCGGAGUGUAAACUCCUUUUGUUAGAGAAGAUAAUGACGGUAUCUAACGAAUAAGCACCGGCUAACUCCGUGCCAGCAGCCGCGGUAAUACGGAGGGUGCAAGCGUUACUCGGAAUCACUGGGCGUAAAGGGCGCGUAGGCGGGCUAGCAAGUCAGAUGUGAAAUCCUAUGGCUUAACCAUAGAACUGCAGUUGAAACUGUUAUUCUAGAGUAUGGGAGAGGUAGGUGGAAUUCUUGGUGUAGGGGUAAAAUCCGUAGAGAUCAAGAGGAAUACUGAUUGCGAAGGCGACCUGCUAGAACGUAACUGACGCUGAUGCGCGAAAGCGUGGGGAGCAAACAGGAUUAGAUACCCUAGUAGUC
rnacentral:rRNA from 1 species